rnacentral:tRNA from 1 species
UCCUACAGACCCUUAAACACA